rfam:Penicillium brasilianum genome assembly, contig: SCAF4
GGGCGGCUGGCCUAAUGGCAAGGCGCUUGAUUUCGGCUCAAGAGAUUGCAGGUAAUUACACCCUCACCAUUUACUGCUUAUCUGAACGUUUCCACUAACAUAAGCCCCUAGGUUCGAUCCCUGCGUCGCUCA